rnacentral:rRNA from 1 species
AGAGUUUGAUCCUGGCUCAGAAUGAACGCUGGCGGCGUGCCUAACACAUGCAAGUCGCACGAGAAAGGGUCCUUCGGGGCCUGAGUAAAGUGGCGAACGGGUGAGUAACACGUGGGUAACCUAUCCUCGAGAGUGGGAUAACCUGGCGAAAGCCGGGCUAAUACCGCAUAACGUCCAUGCAUCCUGUGCAUGGACCAAAGGUGGCGAGCUUCGAGCGCUGCCACUCGAGAGCGGACCCGCGUCCCAUUAGCUUGUUGGUGGGGUAACGGCCUACCAAGGCUACGAUGGGUAGUCGGGCUGAGAGGCUGUCCGGCCACACUGGAACUGAGACACGGCCCAGACUCCUACGGGAGGCAGCAGUGGGGAAUAUUGGACAAUGGGCGAAAGCCUGAUCCAGCAAUACCGCGUGUGUGAAGAAGGCCUGAGGGUUGUAAAGCACUUUCAAUAGCGACGAAAUGCCUAAAGUUAAUAACUUUGGGUCUUGACUAAACUAUAGAAGAAGCACCGCUAACU